AUGGCGGCCUCCUCCGGCCUCCGCGACCUGGAGGAGACGGAGGACGGCUGGAUCGUCCUGCCCCCGGCGCCGCCCAAAUCGGGCAAGCCUCCCAGGCCCCCGCCGCGCGCCACGGCGACGGACGCCGUCAACGCCUCCCCCGACGAAGCGUUCGACCCGACCCCGGACGUCAUCGUCGGCCGGUACCUGCCACUGCGCCGCGCACUGCGGUGCGACGGCCUGCCCCGGCAGAUCCACGACGCCGACGUCUACGGCGCGCACCCCGGCUUCCUCGCCGCCGUGUACCCGCCGGCGAACGAUCGGUCCGAGUGGUUCUUCUUCGUGUGCCGGGCGCAAUGCCAGGGCGGGCGGCGCAGGGCCGGCCCCGGCGCGUACCGCCUCGGCAGCGAGGCCAGGCUGCUCGGUGGCGCCGCCUACUGCCACGCCUUCCGCUACUACGAGGACGAGGCCGAGGUCGGCUCGGCCUCGACCAAGGAGACCGAGUGGCGCAUGGACGAGUACGGCGACUGCCGCUCUGCCGCCGCCGCCUUCGACAUGGUGGUCUGCAAGCUAUACACGGCGCGUGGCGGGAUCGUCCAUACGAUGCUCGGCGUCCACGAGCCCGCCUCGCCUUCGCACCGUCCAGACAUGAAUAAGCCGCAGGUGCUCGUCCAGCUCUACCUCGACAGCCUCAACCUGGGGGACCCGCGGCGGUGCAGAAUGCAUGCCACGGCCGACGUCUUCGCCGCACACCCGGCGGUGCUCACGGUGGCGUUCCCGGCGGCCAACGACCGGAGCGAGUGGUUCUUCGCCGUGCACCGGCGCCGGCGCGAGCUCGAGGAGAACGACGAGGACAAAGCGCGCCCGCGGAGGGCAGGGCCAGGGGCGUACGUGCUGGUGCGCGAAGGCCGCGUCGUGAACGGCAAUGGCGGGGACAUAGGGUACCGCCGCGUGUUCUUGUACAGGGAAGACGACGCGACGGUGAGGCGGGUGUCGCGGACGGAGUGGUGGAUGGAGGAGUACGGGUUCAGAAAGGACUUCCCGCACGGCGAGCUGCCUUCAGCGAAGGCACCAAUGGACGAAGACGAGGAGCUGGUGGUGUACAAGCUGUACCUGAAAAUGCUUGGUCACCGGCGGUAG
rnacentral:rRNA from 1 species